GUGUUUAGAGAACCUUGUAAUAUCAUCUUCAGGUAUAUUUUGUACCAAAAAAUUUUGGGUUUACCUUCUUCUCGAUUUGGUCUGAUGGAUGAUCAGGUUGCCAAGGCAUUCCUUCCCUUCUCCAUUUAAUAGGCCAAGCAUUGGGAGAACAUAUAUACUUAAAGAUUGAUGCUUAUGGAGCUGAUUUGUAUUCCUCAGUUGCUAUAUUUCAUAUGAUGAAAAUUGUUGCUUUCGGAGGGAAUUUGGGUUCACCAUUAGCAACGAACUGACAUGGGAAUACAGGAUGGCCGAGCACCGAGGCAGAAGUUUGUGAUCAAUGUUUUGACGUUUGCUGGAAAUGCAUAUCGGAAAAUAUUCCUCUAAGUGUUUAGAAAUAUAUUAACCGCAUCACAUGGAAAAAAAUAUUUGAAAGUGAGUUAUGUGGCAUUGGAUAUCCUGAUGUAGUUGAAUCCACCAAAUUUGAAAACUAUAACAUAUUAUGUAUGUAUAUGAUUGUGUGUGGAUAUUAAUAAAGAUCAAAAUAUUAUAUGUUUCUUGUGCUAUAUUUAUUAUUAUGAAAUUAUUUUUUAUCGCCCAUAGCAACGCACGGACAUGAACCUAGUGUAUAGAUUAUUUGCAUAACUUAUCCUUUACUUUUAUAGCUCUUAUUGUUUCUUUCGCAUGAGUUAUGCAUAUAAAUUUUGUAUAGGAAAAAUUAUAUUUAUAAUCUUUCCUUUUAUUAAUAAGUUUUGCU